rnacentral:rRNA from 1 species
AUUGAACGCUGGCGGCAUGCCUUACACAUGCAAGUCGAACGGCAGCGCGGGGCAACCUGGCGGCGAGUGGCGAACGGGUGAGUAAUAUAUCGGAACGUACCCUGGAGUGGGGGAUAACGUAGCGAAGGUUACGCUAAUACCGCAUACGAUCUAAGGAUGAAAGUGGGGGAUCGCAAGACCUCAUGCUCCUGGAGCGGCCGAUAUCUGAUUAGCUAGUUGGUGGGGUAAAGGCCUACCAAGGCAUCGAUCAGUAGCUGGUCUGAGAGGACGACCAGCCACACUGGAACUGAGACACGGUCCAGACUCCUACGGGAGGCAGCAGUGGGGAAUUUUGGACAAUGGGCGAAAGCCUGAUCCAGCAAUGCCGCGUGAGUGAAGAAGGCCU